CCUCGCGCCCCGCCGUCGUCCCCGCCCGGGCCCGACCCUGGCGGCGGGGGCUGAGGCCGCCCGUCAGCCUUGACUUACUGGAUGUACUUUGUCUCCAACUUCCUUGUGGCCGCCACAGAUAAUCCCUCGUGAAGCCAGAGAGGCAUAACAGGACCUCGGUGGCCUUGAUUGGCUUCAAACAAGCUCAAGUCCAUGAACCCCACGAAGAAGCCUGCUGGGGGUUGCUUGGGAAAGCUUUUGUCACUCUUAAGAAGGAACAUAAGGAGGAAAUGCUGCUGGAUGUUAUUGUUCGCCUGUGCUUGGCAGCGGCCCUGCAGCCCUGAGAGGAAGUGGCUUGAGGAGCAUCUUGCCCCUGUGGUGGCUGCACGAGAGACAGGAAGAGCAUGGGUCCCCAGUGACACCACUGGGCUAUUAACCAGUCCUGCUGCUGCCCUGCCUGGGAGUUCUUGUUAUAAGAGAUAAUAAAUAUCUUUAUUUAAA